ensembl:lncRNA
AAUAAUAAUAAAUUUUAAAAAACACAAAAAGAAAGAAAAAGAAUGGCAAACAAAGAAAUCAACAACAACAAAAACAAAAACCCCGGCAUGCAGAAGGGGCUGAUUAUUAAUUUCAGCUUCUCAGUCUAAUGCUCAUGUUUGCCUGCUAACUUUCCAAUACCUUAGAUCAGAUGCUCAGAAGCAGAACAUACACAGAUGAAAGCACCUUUUCAGCUAAAAAUAAAUAAGAAAUUGUGCAUUUUGUUGGACACUGGUGCCUGCCUUUAUGGUGUUGAAUUAGUCCAGGAAAUGGACUCCUGUUUUGCUCUUCAGCAGAAAAGAUAGGGUUGCUCUAGUACAUUCCAGUUUCACAUCUCCACACAACAGCUUUCUCGAGGAUGUUACAGAAAUUUCUUUGCACCAGCUGGCAAAGCUCUUCCCAGCCUUUCUAGCAAUACUGAGAAAUACUGAGAAAUUAUUGUCAAGUGCCAAAUCUUCAGUUAGAUCAGAAAAUACAUUGGGUUGACUGGAUGCUCUGCUGUUUAUCCUGCAGCUCUGAGAUAUUAAUUUCUGAUUUUUCAACACUGCAGCUGCAGGAUAGUCUUUGCAGCAUAGCAAAGAGGAUGCACUGGGGAUGUCGACCCUCUGGGAAGCUUUCUGCAUUGGUCUGUCCAAGUUUAUUUGGAAACUGGAAAAAAGAAAUGGGAAACUCCGCUGCCUUUUUGAGCAAUUGAGGAUUUCCUGAAGGGAAAAUUUGCCUGAAGGGAACAACCUACUGUACAACUUUGGUACUUUUGAGCUGCUCACACUAUUUGGGAAAGAUUUACAAUAUCUUGAAUAUCCAUCUUCAACCAAGUGCCAGCUCAAGGUCUUGACAUCUAAAUUGGCAGCCUUUGAUCUUGGUAUCUUUUAAAAAAGAUUCAGACAGAUCUGCCCCUGCCACAGAAUCUGCAGCUACUCCAAGACCUGUGACAGGAGCUAAAGCCACCUCAACUCCUCAGAGAGGCCCUGCAGCUACUCCAAUGCCUGUAACAGGCCCCACAGCUGAUCCAAACCCUGUGACAGUCUCUGCAGAUGCUCUAAUACCUGUGACAAGCCCUGCAGCUUUUACAAAGUGUAUGACAGGCUGUGCAGCUUUUCCAAUGGCUCUGACAGGCCCUCCAGCUACUGCAGCUCCUGUGACUGCCACUGCAGCUUCUGAAAAGCCAUAGACAGGCCUUGUACCUGACUCUACCCCUGAGAAAGUCCCAGCAGAAAGAGAUGAAGGCAAAUGAACAGCAGGGGCCAAGUGUUCAUCACAUCAGCCAUCUUCAUGAGCUGCUGCUGGAUGGCACCAAAACAACCAGCACAAGAAUCAGGCUGCAGCUGAACAGGUGCUCCCCUGUGGCUGGAUGAAUUACCUCCCCAGAAGUGUUGGGUGCAGCAGCCUGAUGGGAGCUGCUGCUUGAGGACCCCGGAGCUUUGUCAGGCCUUGAAACUUGGUCACUGCCCAUGGAACUUACUGGGGACUCAUUGCACCGGGACAGAAAGGACUGGCCGUAUGUCUGGGCCCAGACAGUGGUAGCAGCCAGCAGCAAGAGUGCAGAGGAGGCAGCUCCAGCAGGCUCAUGCAUAUCUCUUCUGUCGCCUGUGCUUAGCAGGCCUCAGUAAAAGGCCAUGCUUUAACACUGUUGCCUCAAACUUUGCUGAGGAUGGACAAGUCCAAGCAAGUCCUGGGCAAGGGCUGAGAAUUCC